rnacentral:rRNA from 1 species
UACGAAGGGGGCUAGCGUUGCUCGGAAUGACUGGGCGUAAAGGGCGCGUAGGCGGCGCACUUAGUCGGGCGUGAAAGUCCUGGGCUCAACCUGGGGACGGCGCUCGAUACGGGUGUGCUUGAGUGUGGAAGAGGGUUGUGGAAUUCCCAGUGUAGAGGUGAAAUUCGUAGAUAUUGGGAAGAACACCGAUGGCGAAGGCGGCAACCUGGUCCAUUACUGACGCUGAGGCGCGAAAGCGUGGGGAGCAAACAGG